GCUGGCGGCGUGCUUAACACAUGCAAGUCGAACGGAAAGGCCCUGCUUGCAGGGUACUCGAGUGGCGAACGGGUGAGUAACACGUGGGUGAUCUGCCCUGCACUUCGGGAUAAGCCUGGGAAACUGGGUCUAAUACCGGAUAGGAGCCAUUUUUAGUGUGAUGGUUGGAAAGUUUUUUCGGUGUAGGAUGAGCUCGCGGCCUAUCAGCUUGUUGGUGGGGUAAUGGCCUACCAAGGCGGCGACGGGUAGCCGGCCUGAGAGGGUGGACGGCCACAUUGGGACUGAGAUACGGCCCAGACUCCUACGGGAGGCAGCAGUGGGGAAUAUUGCACAAUGGGCGCAAGCCUGAUGCAGCGACGCCGCGUGGGGGAUGACGGCCUUCGGGUUGUAAACUCCUUUCGCUAGGGACGAAGCUUUUUGUGACGGUACCUAGAUAAGAAGCACCGGCUAACUACGUGCCAGCAGCCGCGGUAAUACGUAGGGUGCGAGCGUUGUCCGGAAUUACUGGGCGUAAAGGGCUCGUAGGUGGUUUGUCGCGUCGUCUGUGAAAUUCCGGGGCUUAACUCCGGGCGUGCAGGCGAUACGGGCAUAACUUGAGUACUGUAGGGGUAACUGGAAUUCCUGGUGUAGCGGUGAAAUGCGCAGAUAUCAGGAGGAACACCGAUGGCGAAGGCAGGUUACUGGGCAGUUACUGACGCUGAGGAGCGAAAGC
rnacentral:rRNA from 1 species